GGUCACCCACAUGGUCCAAGAUGGCUGCUGGAGAUCCAGCCAUUACACAAAACUCCAGUCAGCAAGAAGGAAGAAGCAACAAAGAAGGACAUCACCCCCUUCCCCUUUAAGGACACUUUCUAGAAAUUACAAGAGCACAUGUUUAUGCCCCUUUUGACAGAACUCAGUCACAUACAUGAUCUGGGUGCGGGUGCAAGAAAAAAAUGCAAAAUGUGAUUUUUUUUUUUUUUUGAGACAAGAGUCUUGCUCUGUUGCCCAGGCUGGAAUGCAGUGGCACAAUCUCGGCUCACUGCAACAUCCACCUCCGGGGUUCAAGCAAUUCACCUUUCUCAGCCUCUCAAGUAGUUGGGAUUAUAGGCGCUUGCCACCACGCCUGGCUAAUUUUUGUAUUUUUAGUAGAGACGGGGUUUCGCCAUGUUGGCCAGGCUGGCCUCGAACUCCUGAUCUCAGGUGAUCCACCCACCUCGGCCUCCCAAAGUGCUGGGAUUACAAGUGU
rnacentral:lncRNA from 1 species